rnacentral:ncRNA from 1 species
GAGAGCCCGUUGCGUUGAAAGGCGCACGGCGGGUUCGGAGGGCGGCCACGGGAAACGGACCCGAGGCAACUCGGGCACCGCGCCCGGGGUCGACCCUAC